CAAUAGCGUAUAUUAAAGUUGUUGCAGUUAAAAAGCUCGUAGUCGGAUUUCGGGUUGGCGCGGUCGGUCUGCCGUUGGGUAUGCACUGACUGUCGCCUUCCUUUCCGGGGUAGAUCGUGCGUUUACUCGUGCGUUUCUCCUCGCGUUUACUUUGAGAAAAUCAGAGUGUUCAAAGCAGGCCUUUGCCAUUGUAUGUGUUAGCAUGGGAUAAUGGAAUAGGACUCUGGUGCUAUUUUGUUGGUUUCGAACGCCGGGGUAAUGAUUAAUAGGGACAGUCAGGGGCACUCGUAUUCCGUAGAGAGAGGUGAAAUUCUUAGACCCACGGAAGACGCACUACUGCGAAAGCAUUUGCCAGGGAUGUUUNCACUGA
rnacentral:rRNA from 1 species